AUAUCAAUAAGCGGAGGAAAAGAAACUAACAAGGAUUCCCCUAGUAACGGCGAGUGAAGCGGGAAGAGCUCAAAUUUAAAAUCUGGCGGUGUAUUCCGUCCGAGUUGUAGUCUAGAGAAGCGUCAUCCGCGCUGGACCAUGUACAAGUCUCUUGGAACAGAGCGUCAUAGAGGGUGAGAAUCCCGUCCUUGACAUGGACUCCCAGUGCUUUGUGUUGUGCUCUCGACGAGUCGAGUUGUUUGGGAAUGCAGCUCAAAAUGGGUGGUAAAUUCCAUCUAAAGCUAAAUAUUGGCGAGAGACCGAUAGCGAACAAGUACCGUGAGGGAAAGAUGAAAAGCACUUUGGAGAGAGAGUUAAACAGUACGUGAAAUUGUUGAAAUGGAAACGCUUGAAGUCAGUCGCGUUCUCUGGGAUUCAGCCUUGCUUCUGCUUGGUGCACUUCCUAGUCUACGGGCCAGCAUGGAUUUCGACCGAUGGAAAAAGGCUUGGGGAAUGUGGCACCUCCGGGUGUGUUAUAGCCCUUUGUCAGACACGUCGGUUGGGAUCGAGGACCUCAGUGCACGCUUCGGUUGUGCUUUGAUGCUGGCGUAAUGGCUUUAAACGA
rnacentral:rRNA from 1 species